CCGCUGCACCUUAUUUUGCUCGCUUCAUUUGAAGCCCCUUUAUUAUAAUUACUACACUUAUCUUUUUAGGAGUUCAAAAUUUAAGUUUUAUGUGUAACCCUCAAUUUACAACCCAACGCCAAGCGUGGCUCACCUUCCGAAAGCUGGUACACGCUGCUGAAAUGAAUUGUUAUGGAAUGGAUUCAUUUCAGUACUGAAAUGAAUGGUAAGCAA
rnacentral:lncRNA from 1 species